rnacentral:tRNA from 1 species
GCCCCCGUAGCUCAGUGGAUAGAGCGUUGGCCUCCGGAGCCAAAGACCAGGAUUCGAGUUCCUGCGGGGGCG